rnacentral:rRNA from 1 species
GACGAACGCUGGCGGCGUGCUUAACACAUGCAAGUCGAGCGGAAAGGCCCUUCGGGGUACUCGAGCGGCGAACGGGUGAGUAACACGUGAGUAAUCUGCCCUUCACUCUGGGAUAGCCACCGGAAACGGUGAUUAAUACCGGAUACGACCAAUUCCUGCAUGGGGUGUUGGUGGAAACUUUUUUGGGUGGGGGAUGUGCUCGCGGCCUAUCAGCUUGUUGGUGGGGUAAUGGCCUACCAAGGCUCCGACGGGUAGCCGGCCUGAGAGGGUGACCGGCCACACUGGGACUGAGACACGGCCCAGACUCCUACGGGAGGCAGCAGUGGGGAAUAUUGGACAAUGGGCGGAAGCCUGAUCCAGCAACGCCGCGUGAGGGAUGACGGCCUUCGGGUUGUAAACCUCUUUCAGCACCGACGAAGCGCAAGUGACGGUAGGUGCAGAAGAAGGACCGGCCAACUACGUGCCAGCCGCCGCCGUAACAC